UACAGAGGGUGCGAGCGUUGUUCGGAAUUACUGGGCGUAAAGCGCGCGCAGGCGGCCUUUUAAGUCUGGCGGUGAAAUGCCGGGGCUCAACCCCGUUGCAUGCCGCGGAUACUGGGAGGCUGGAGACGAGUAGAGGCAAGCGGAAUUCCGGGUGUAGCGGUGAAAUGCGCAGAUAUCAGGAGGAAUACCGGUGGCGAAGGCGGCAUCCUGGACCGACAUUGACGCUGAGGAGCGAAAGCUAGGGGAGCAAACGGG
rnacentral:rRNA from 1 species